AUUGAACGCUGGCGGCAUGCUUUACACAUGCAAGUCGAACGGCAGCGCGGGCUUCGGCCUGGCGGCGAGUGGCGAACGGGUGAGUAAUACAUCGGAACGUGCCCAGUAGUGGGGGAUAGCUCGGCGAAAGCCGGAUUAAUACCGCAUACGACCUGAGGGUGAAAGCGGGGGAUCUUCGGACCUCGCGCUAUUGCAGCGGCCGAUGGCAGAUUAGCUAGUUGGUGGGGUAAAGGCCUACCAAGGCGACGAUCUGUAGCAGGUCUGAGAGGACGACCAGCCACACUGGGACUGAGACACGGCCCAGACUCCUACGGGAGGCAGCAGUGGGGAAUUUUGGACAAUGGGCGAAAGCCUGAUCCAGCAAUGCCGCGUGUGUGAUGAAGGCCUUCGGGUUGUAAAGCACUUUUGGCGGGAACGAAAAGGACUGUGCCAAUACCACGGUUCGAUGACGGUACCCGCAGAAUAAGCACCGGCUAACUACGUG
rnacentral:rRNA from 1 species